GCGUACCGGAAGGUGCGCCUGGAAAGUUCAAUUCAGAGCUUGAUAAGUUAAGCAUCUCAUUUACACUGAGAAGUUACUGUGCAAUUCAGUUUGAUUUGAUAAUUAAAAAUUUACUUUAAUUGUUAGUUAUUGGGAUGAGUAAUAUGUUUAAUAAAAUCAUUUUUUAAGGGUUAGGUUUUUGUAUAGGUUAUAGAUGGAAUUUUAGUAGUGAUAGUUUAAUUGUAUUGUGAAAGAUUAUUGAAAUAUUUUGAAAAUUUGUUUGUUUAAUAGUAGAUUUAAUUUAUUGUACCUUGUGUAUCAGGGUUCAUUAAUAGUUUUGUAUUUAUUUACAUGUCCCGAUUUAAAGAGGGCUAAGCGUGUUUGUUAGUUAAUGUGGAAUAAUUAUUAAUGAAAUAUGUUUAGUAAUGAAAUGUUAUCCGUUCUUUAAGGUAUCUGGUUUUUUAAGAAAUGAAUUUAAUUCAGUUAUUGAAUUUUAUUGAUUUAAUUGAUUAAGUUGGUAUAAUUUAAUAAAAAUGUUUAGGGGGAUAAGCUUCUUUGCAUGAACUUAUAAAAUGGGGUUUUAAUGAAGAUUUUGUAGGCUUAGAAUUAGCCAUCAAUUAGAGGAUGUUAUAAUUUAUUUUUUAUUAAAUAUGAUUUUAUAUAGGUUUUAAGUUUUUUAUUAAAAUAUAGUUUAUAAUUUUAUAAAGUUAGUGAUAAUGAUGAAAUUAGUAUAAUGUGUUGUUAGUUAAUUUAUGUGUGUUAGGUUACAUUAAGGAAUUCGGCAAAUUAAUGCUCGCCUGUUUAACAAAAACAUGUCCUCAUGAGAAUAAUUUGAGGUCUGGCCUGCCCGCUGAACUGAUAAAGUUUGAAGGGCCGCGGUAUUUUGACCGUGCAAAGGUAGCAUAAUCAUUAGUCUUUUAAUUGGAGGCUAGUAUGAAUGGUUGGACGAGGUAUUGACUGUCUCAGUGUUAAUGAUGUUAGAAUUUAACUUUUAGGUCAAAAGGCUUAAAUGUGUUUAG
rnacentral:rRNA from 1 species